CUGGGGCGGGAAGAAAAGAGACCGAUUCCCGCCUGCCUGCCAGCACUUCCGCCCUUUCGGCGAGGGGAGAUGGGCGGAGUCUCGGAUGCAUGCGGCCGACCUUCGACUGACAUAUGAGCGACCUUAUUGGCCGAGAUGGUGGCAGAUGAAAUACGCCAGAAACCAUCUUGCAAAAGCUCGUCUUUAAACGCCAUCAACUACAAUAGUCUGCCAUAAGCUUCAUAUCAUCAUUCAGGACCUUAUCAAUUUCUGAGAAGGACUGAGCUGGAUAGCUGCAGCAGAUGUCAUUGACAUAAAUAAACUUGCAUGAGAGUGUUACUGGCAAGUCAUUGAUGUACACAUUGAACAGUAUUGGUGAAAGAACCGAACCUUGAGGAAGACUGCUGAUCUGACACUUCCAAGAACGGCAAUGAUCGCCCAUGUGUACUCUGAACUGCCUGUUUUAGAGGAAAAGCUCUACUAUUUGACCACCUAAUGCAGGGCAACUCAAGAGAAUUACACAAAAAGCCUGUGUGCCAAACUGUGUCAUAAGCGAUGGACACAUCCAGGAAGAUGGGUUCCUGUCUUCAGAUUUUGUUGAAAACCAUUUCAAUAAAGAUGGUCAAGGCUAAGAUUUAAUCACAGGUGCUGCAUCCUUUUCUUAACCCUGCCUGCUUAACCUGCAAAACAUCAUCCAACUCCGGACAAGUUGUAAGAUAUGUAUGUAUCACAGGAAGGAAUGGAGCCUGUGAUUCUAUUGUUAGAUAUUAUAUAAUGAAAUAUGGUAUAACUGGCCCUGUAAUGAUGGCUUGGAACUUUUUGACAUAAUGAACAUGUUCAUCCAUUCCUUUAUAAAAUCUUCCAGAUCCUGACUGAUUCAGCAACCACUUCUAAAGUUUUGUGAAAAUUAAGAUGAAUGUUUAAGUUUUUUUUAAAAAUCCCUAAAAUUGGUAAAUGACUUUAAUAUGAAGAAGACUCAGAUUCACUAAAAAGGAGACAGUUUAAUACUGAACUAGCCACAGACCAAACUGUUAAAUUAAAUAUGUAGUGUUUCUGUAUAAAUAUCCCCUGUGUAAAUGUAUUAAAAUACUUUAAUUCAUUAAAAUGUUUCCCAUAAAUUAAAAAAUGGAGAGGGUGCAUAACAGAACCAAAAAAAAUUCAAGGGCUUAACAAAUGCCUUACAGUGAGUGUGUUAAAGCUGUGGUUCUCAACCAGGGGAGCAGGGACCCCUGCGGGGGCUGCGAACAAGUUUCAGGGGGUUCGCCAAAAUAAACCUGAAAUCAGGGCUGGCAAUAGUCUCGCUGGUGCCCAGGGCAGAAAGCUGAAGCCCAAGCCCCAUCACUGGGGACUGAAGCUGAAGCCUGAGCAACUUAGCUUCACAUGGCUCCCUGUGUCAUGGGGCCCCAGGCACUUGCCCUGCUUACUACCCCCUAACUCUGGCCCUGGCUUUGAAUCUACUGAAUAUGCAGCAAAACAGUUGUUGUGGCACAGGUGGGCCUUGGCGUUUCUAUAGCAUGUUGAGGGGGGAGCCUCAGAAAGAAAAAGGUUGAGAACCCCUGUUUUAAAGAGCUCAAUCCAUUUAAUAUAUCUACAAAGAUUGAGAGAUGAGUUGAUUACAGUGUCUAAGUACCAUCAUGGGAAGAAAAUACCGGUGUCUUUAAUCUAGUGGAGAAAGAUGCAGCAAGAACCAAUGGCUGGAGCUGGAACCAGACAAUUUCAAAUUGGAAAUAGGACACACGUUUUUAACAGUGAGGGUGAUAAAUCACUGGAACAACCCACCAAGGGGGGGGGGGGGUGGAUUCUCCAUCUGUUGGUGUCUUCAAAUCAGGACUAGAUCACUUCCAGAAAGAUAUGCUUUAGCCAAACACAAGUUAUUGGGUUCAAUACAAAGGUAACUGGGUGACAUUUACUAUUCUGUGAUAUACAAGAAGUCAGAUUAAAUUAUCCAUUGGUCCUUUCUGGCCUUAAACUCUAUGAAUAUAUAAACACUAUAUUUAAUUCACAUUUGAAAGCUUUCAUUGUGUGUUACGAACAUUAUACAUCAGAACAAUACACUGAUCUUAUUAAGGUCAAAUAUUUAUUUUUGUGUUUGUACAGCACCUAGACCAGUGAUUCUCAACCGGGGGUACGUGUACCUCUAGGGGUACACAGAGGUCUUCCCUGGGGUACAUCAACUCAUCUAGCUCUUUGCCUAGUUUUGUAACAGUGGCUUUUACAACAGUGAUUUCAAAAAUCAUUAGGGAAGUCCAUACAAACUAAAAUUUCAUACAGCCGAUGAUUUGUUUAUACUUCUCUAUGUACUAUAUAUUGAAAUGUAAGUACAAUAUUUGUAUUCCAAUUGGUUUAUUUUAUAAUUAUACAGUACAAAAGAGAAAGUAAGCAAUUUUUCAGUAAUAGUGUGCUGUGAUACUUUUGUAUUUUUAUGUCUGAUUUUGUAAACAAAUAGAUUUUAAGUGAGGUGAAACAGAUUCCUGAAAGGGGUACAGUAGCCUGGAAAGUUUGAGAGACACUGACCUAGACAAUGGGGCCCUGAUCCAUGAUUGGGGCACUUAGGUGCUACUUCAAUACUAAUAAUAAUACUUCAAUCUCAAACCUUGAGAAAAUAACUUGAUAGAUCAGAUUUUUCUUUAAAGGCACAAUGAUAAUUUUCUCAAAGUUUGACCACUAGUUUAUGCAGUGUGUCUAAAGUUUUAUUUACCUAAAGACAAUAUUGCAUGCAGAGACAUGAACCCAACUGUUGGAACUUUCUUUACCUAACAAAGCCCUGGUCUACACUAGGACUUUAGGUCGAAUUUAGCAAAGUUAAAUCGAUGUAAACCUGCACCUGUCCACACGAUGAAGCCCUUUAUUUCGACUUAAAGGGCUCUUAAAAUCGAUUUCCUUACUCCACCCCUGACAAGUGCGUUAGCGCUUAAAUCGGCCUUGCCGGGUCGAAUUUGGGGUACUGUGGACACAAUUCGACAGUAUGGGCCUCCGGGAGCUAUCCCAGAGUGCUCCAUUGUGACUGCUCUGGACAGCACUCUCAACUCAAAUGCACGAUUGUUUGCCGUUGCUCUGAUGCAGGGAGGGGCGACUGAUGACACGGCUUACAGGGUUGGCUUACAGGGAGGGUGGCUUUACAUCAAGGAGUAUUUCAGGCAGGACUUCACGGAGGGUUCCAAUAAGAAAUGGUGCACCUAAGUUAUUGUUCUUAUUGGAACAAGGAGGUUAGCCUGGCCUCUGAUUGAUACAUGGCUAGAUUUACCUCGCUGCACCUUCUCUGUGAGUGACUGCAGUGUGACCUAGAGAAAUGAGUCCCCUAGACGGGGGGCGGGGGGGUUUGUAAAUGAGUACAAAACAAAUCUGGUCUAUUUCUUGUUUUGAUCCACUCCAUCUAUCUUUUACAUCUUUGGCUGGCAGCAGAAGAUGCAGAAGGACUGCAUGCCAUCCACAUCUCAUGGCUGCUCGGCAGAAGAUGGUACAAUAGGACUGCUAGCCAUCCUCAUCUCUUGCCUGCCCGGCAGAAGACGAUGCAAUAGGACUGCUAGCAAUCCGUAUCACCUGCCUGCUCACCAUAAGAUGGUUCAAUAGGACUGACUGCAGGACUAAAGAGAAUGACUUGAUCAAGUCACUCCAAAUUUAGUCCCUGUGCCCAUGUCUGCCCAGGCGCUCCUGAUUGACCUCACACAGGCAACCAGGAGCACCUCGGACAUGACGAUGACGGCUACCAGUCCUAUUACACCAUCUGCUGCCACAAGGCAAUGGGUUGCUGCUGCUGUGUAGCAAUGGAGUACCGCGUCUGCCAGCACCCAGGAGACAUAGGGUGACGGUUACCUGAGCGGGCUCCAUGCUUGCCGUGGUAUGGCGUCUGCACAGGUAACUCAGGAAAAAAGGCACAAAACGAUUGUCUGCCCUUGCUUUCACGGAGGGAGGGAGGGAACGGGGGCCUGACGAUAUGUACCCAGAACCACCCGCGACAAUGUUUUAGCCCCAUCAGGCAUUGGGAUCUCAACCCAGAAUUCCAAUGGGCAGCGGAGACUGCGGGAACUGUGGGAUAGCUACCCACAGUGCAACACUCCAGAAGUCGACUCUAGGCUCGGUACUGUGGAAGCACUCCGCCGAGUUAAUUGCACUUAAUGCACUUAGAGCAUUUUCUGUGGGGACACACACACUCGAAUAUAUAAAACCGAUUUCUAAAAUAAAAGACUUCUAUAAAUUCGACCUAAUUUCGUCAUGUAGACAUACCCUUAAAAAUUUGUAAAUUUCUUAUUUGAAUGAUUGUUGAAAUUGCUUCUCAACUGCUUGUAUUAUAGAAUUUACGAAAAGUAAUUUUCAGAUGUUUUAAACUCAAAGAACUGUACUGAUAAAUUUAAUUAUGGAAGUAACAACGUUAUUGUAGUGUACAAGACAUAAUAGACUUAAUUCAGCUUUGGUGAAGGCAAGUACAUCCCCAUUUGCAUUCAGUAGGCUCAGUCCUGCAAGGAACUGAGCACUCUGGUCAUAAUCCAGAAAAGUACUUGAGGGCCAUAGUGCUCAACUCAUGGGAGGCCUGAGACCAGUGGGAAUUGUUCCUGUCCCACUAAGGCUGAAUCUGGCCUACUAUGUGAUAUAUCUUAAAUUAGCUUUCCACUUGAAAGAACAGAAAUCAAUUUGGAGUCCUUAAGUUUACAGCCCUUACUUUUAUUUAAUAUUAAUUGUAAUAAAAUUUUGGCCUGAUAUCGCAUUUUAAAAGGAAGUCCUCAUUUCCUGGAUUAACUGAACUGUGUAGAAAGUUAGGGAUGAGCCAGAGUCAAAAUGAAAAUGGUAAUAUUUUUAAUUUUGAAAAAAUCGGUUUAUAAAAACGUGUCUGGAAUUUCAUUGAGCAUUUAUGUAAUUUUAUUCUGUUAAGCAAAUUCUGUGCUUCAACUUAUCCAACUAAUCUACUCCCCACCAGCAUUUGUAGUGUGCAUGCUGAGUAAAAUGUUCUUAACAGAACAAUCUUUUCGGAUACAAAUAAGCAUGGUAAAAUACAUCACAUUUGCUCAACACUGUCCUUAUCUUCAGCAAGAUUGGUUGUUUGUAUUCAUUUGGUUGUGUAAAGAAGGAGAGCAAGUGUCUCUCUCUUCAGCAUAAAAAUUAAGAAUAGAUCUUUAGAAUUGAGACUAAGGCUUGAAAACCGAAAUGUCUAUUGAAGGUUAGGGCUCUGAGGCUUACUGUAGUCCAACUGCUUUACCAACUAAUCAAUAGCCACAGCUAAUAUGAAAGGCUGCUUCCCCCUGCCCCCCCCCUCCCCCCCCGUGUUCAGCUUUGUUAACAGAGGUAUCAACCUCAUAGAAGCAAUAUGUAAAACUUUUACAAAAUCACAGGCAUCAGAUAACUUUUUUUCAAAAGUUCAAGAUUUAGUGGCUAUUGGCAAGCCUUACUCUUCUGAGCCUUUGCAUGCUCCCAUUAAUUGAUGGAAUGACAAAAGUAACAUCACUUACCAUGUCCUUACUCUGCUUUUUGAGAAGGAAAAUUAAAUACAUUACCACCAUAUGCACUCAGCCAAAAUAAGCAGCACUUUUUUGCUAAUGAUAAAAAUGUUCUUUUCCUGGAGAACAAACUAUCAGAGUAUGGUAGCUCUAGGUGAUACCUCAAGCUCUCCAAUUCAGGAAUAUUUUAUAGUUGUUUUAAUACCUUCUUUAAUCUUUUUUCAGUGAUUAGUACCAUUUAUUAUGCUGCCCUUGUGACAUUUUAAAUAAUAUUUUACAAUAGAAUCCAAGAAAAAUAAAUGUUCUGUGGAAGCAAAAUUUUUCUGAGGUGUUAGCUUUCAGACAAUUGUGAUUUUUAUCCUAAAAGCAACAUUAAAAUCUGCUAGUACCUAAACUUUGCCGAUGUUUUCUUUUUUAUCUUUUCUGAUUGCUCACCUUUUAUAAAUGUAUUAUUGUGCCCUGUGUCAUUUUGUAGAACUGCAUAUUCAUGCCACUUAUUAACAGCUGAUGGGAAACCUAAUAAAAUGUUUUUAUGUUUCAUAA